CCGGUGAAGUGUUCGGAUUGCGGCGACGUGGGCGGUUUCGCUGCCCCGCGACGUUUGUGAGAAGUCCACUGAACCUUAUCAUUUAGAGGAAGGAGAAGUUCGUAACAAGGUUUCCGUAGGUGAACCUGCGGAAGGAUCAUUG
rnacentral:rRNA from 1 species